GGGCGUAUGGUGUAGUUGGUUAUCACGCUCGCUUAGCAUAGCAUAGCGGGAAUGCUCUACAUAGCUUGCGAGAGGUGUCCGGUUCAAUUCCGGAUUCGUCCA